UACCUGCAGCUCAAGUGGUGGCCGUUAUUAUUGGGCCUAAAACGUCCGUAGCCGGUUUAUUAAAUGCCUGGGUAAAUCGGGCCGCUUAACGGUUCGAAUUCCGGGUAGACUGAUAGACUUGGGACCGGGAGAAGCUAGAGGUACUCCUGGGGUAGAGGUGAAAUUCUGUAAUCCUAGGGGGACCACCAGUGGCGAAGGCGUCUAGCUAGAACGGGUCUGACGGUGAGGGACGAAGCCCUGGGGCGCAAACCGGAUUAGAUACCCGGGUAGUCCGAGGGUGUAAACGCUGCUUGCUUGAUAUUAGUCGGGCUCCGAGCCCGAUUAGUGUCGGAGAGAAGUUGUUAAGCAAGCUGCCUGGGAAGUACGGUCGCAAGACUAGAAACUUAAAGGAAUUGGCGGGGAGCACAGCAACGGGUGGAGCGUGCGGUUU
rnacentral:rRNA from 1 species